GCACUUUAAGCAGUGAAGAAGACUCUUCGGUUAAUACCCGGAGACGAUGACAUUAGCUGCAGAAUAAGCACCGGCUAACUCUGUGCCAGCAGCCGCGGUAAUACAGAGGGUGCAAGCGUUAAUCGGAAUUACUGGGCGUAAAGGGAGCGUAGGUGGCUCGAUAAGUCAGAUGUGAAAUCCCCGGGCUUAACCUGGGAACUGCAUCUGAAACUGUAGAGCUAGAGUAUGUGAGAGGGAGGUAGAAUUUCAGGUGUAGCGGUGAAAUGCGUAGAGAUCUGGAGGAAUACCGAUGGCGAAGGCAGCCUUCUGGCAUAAUACUGACACUGAGGCUCGAAAGCGUGGGUAGCAAACAGGAUUAGAUACCCUGGUAGUCCACGCCGUAAACGAUGUCUACUAGUCGUUGG
rnacentral:rRNA from 1 species